AAAGUCGUAACAAGGUCUCCGUUGGUGAACCAGCGGAGGGAUCAUUACAGAGUUGCAAAACUCCCUAAACCAUUGUGAACCUUACCCAAACCGUUGCUUCGGCGGGCGGCGCACCGCGCCCCCCGGCCCCUCGCGGGCGCCCGCCGGAGGUACCCCAAACCAUUGAUACUUUAUGGCCUCUCUGAGUCUUCUGUACUGAAUAAGUCAAAACUUUCAACAACGGAUCUCUUGGUUCUG
rnacentral:misc_RNA from 1 species